AAUCUCGUGAGCUUUCGUGAAUGUGUGAAAGUGACCCAGACCAGACCGCAAGACCUUGCAACGUUAACGGCCUUCCUGAAAUUUUGUCCAACCCCACCCAGCGCAGUUUGACAACCUUCGGCCCAAUAACCACCUUGACCCUAGAAGAAAGGAUCCUAGAAUGGCUUCUUGGCCCAGAUUGAAAAUAUUCAGCUUAAUCACAGCCCGGUUUCCAAACGUUUAACCCAACUAAAGCUUACGGAGCCAUGCCGCACCGGAGAAGUUUGAAGCUCUCUCUGGUCAAGUUUGGGGCCAAUGAUUUCGCAAUAACUAAGCAAAUAUAAAGUAUGAUUUUUGUUGCAGAGCCCUGAUGGGUUAACUGUGAUUUUGGGAGGGUCUUUGGACCACCGAGCACCGACAAAGCAAGAAUCUCCCCUCUGGAUGGUUUAUUUUAAGCGUAAUAACCGUGCCAAGUGCUAUUUUUCCUCGAGGUUUUGCUACUUUGGGUCUUUUAACUGAAAUGCA